AGCUGAUCAUUGGGUGUAAAGCGUGCGCAGGCGGUUUUGUAAGACAGAGGUGAAAUCCCCGGGCUCAACCUGGGAACUGCCUUUGUGACUGCAAGGCUGGAGUGCGGCAGAGGGGGAUGGAAUUCCGCGUGUAGCAGUGAGAUGCGUAGAUAUGCGGAGGAACACCGAUGGCGAAGGCAAUCCCCUGGGCCUGCACUGACGCUCAUGCACGAAAGCGUGGGGAGCAAACA
rnacentral:rRNA from 1 species